CCGGAAACUGCGGAGUGUUACCUAGCGGAAAAGAGGCGAGACCCCCCCAAGGCGCAAAAACUCAUCUUUAUUGGCGGAGUGAACAAUCUACCCCUCGCCUGUCAGUGUCCAGAGGGCUACGUGGCUUCAGGCCCCGGGGACAGGAGGCCACCCCCGAAGGCCGCCUCGCGGUACUGGUUGGGGAACAUGUUGCUGCCCACGAGGCUGGCGGUGCCUUCAUCUCCGGGGUUCGGGGUCUGACAAGACAAACCUCAUCAGCAAAGGCUGAUUACACUUCUUUGAGAAAGGGAUACAGGUCUAGCUGUUGAACUCUUAUUUCCCAGGCUUCUUUGCAGCCCAACAUGGUCAUAUGACCAAAUUCUCACUGGAAUGGGGAGGCAUGAUGGCUGGAGGUACUACAGCCACUUUGGACAAUGAGAUGGAAACUGCAAAUUGAAAAUGGCAGGAACUUGGACCUCUGAUGACUGAACAGCUGUCAGAUCAUUCUGGACUGUGUUUAUGUAAAAGAAGAAAUAAUAAAGUUCUAUCCUGUUAAAGCUCUUGCUAUUUUUGGCUUUGCUAUGCAUGUAAUUAUGCAUGUAAUUAAAUGUGAUUAUAACAAAUGCAGGCAUUCUUGAUUUCUGCCAAACUCCUAACAUGUGGGAACAAAUUCUUUUCUUUUUUUGGAGAGGU